rnacentral:rRNA from 1 species
UACGUAGGAUGCAAGCGUUGUCCGGAAUUAUUGGGCGUAAAGAGCGCGCAGGCGGUAUGACAAGUCAGAUGUGAAAGAGGCCGGCUUAACCGGCAAGGGUCAUUUGAAACUGUCAGACUAGAGUGCAGCAGAGGAUAGUGGAAUUCCCGGUGUAGUGGUGAAAUGCGUAGAUAUCGGGAGGAACACCAGUGGCGAAGGCGACUAUCUGGGCUGCAACUGACGCUGAGGCGCGAAGGCUAGGGGUAGCAAACAGG